rnacentral:rRNA from 1 species
UACAGAGACUGCAAGCGUUAUUCGGAUUCACUGGGCGUAAAGGGUGCGUAGGUGGCUUGACAAGUUUGAUGUGAAAUCUCCGGGCUUAACCCGGAAAAUGCAUUGAAUACUGUAGAGGCUUGAGGUUUGGAGGGGGGAUUGGAAUUCUCGGUGUAGCAGUGAAAUGCGUAGAUAUCGAGAGGAACACCAGUGGCGAAGGCGAGUCCCCUGGACAACACCUGACACUGAGGCACGAAAGCCGGGGGAGCAAACAGG